rnacentral:rRNA from 1 species
UACGUAGGGGGCAAGCGUUGUCCGGAUUUACUGGGCGUAAAGCGCGCGUAGGCGGAACGUUAAGUCCGGUCUGAAAGCCCCCGGCUCAACCGGGGAGGGUGGCUGGAAACUGGCGUUCUUGAGGGCGAGAGAGGAGGGUGGAAUUCCUGGUGUAGCGGUGAAAUGCGUAGAGAUCAGGAGGAACACCCGGGGCGAAGGCGGCCCUCUGGCUCGACCCUGACGCUGAGGCGCGAAAGCGUGGGGAGCGAACAGG